rnacentral:lncRNA from 1 species
ACUCCAGCGAAGGGGAAAUAGACUCCACUGCGGGAAGGGAGACAUCCUGAAGUCUCUGCAGACAUAUUUUAACACAACCCCGUGUAUUCUUUUCAUUAAACAGAUCAGGCAGCAGAAGCUCAGAACAUUUGCUCUAUCUGACUCCGGUCACACGGCAGCAUUGCCCCUCUUGGCUGCAGUCUUGGAGUUUCCCUCCCUUCUGGCACACUCUGAACUUUCCCAUUAGAGGCACACAUCAUAUUUUUUUCCACUCCAAAGAAUCUGGUAUUUAUCCUCUCGGCUGCUCCCAGGGAAGAUUCUUCUAAACACAAUUUCUCCUCCAAAGUUGCUGUGCCGUCAAAGUUUUCUACUCUAAGACUCUUGUCACGUAUCUCCACUUUCCUCAACUUCAGUGACACAGCAAAUGUGAGAGAACUUGGGAAAUAAUGCAGGGCAUUUCAGAAAGGGUGAACGUAGCGAUGAUUAUAGAUACAAGGUUGAGCCCUUUAGCAACUGGGACUCAAAGAGCAUGCAGGAGCAUCUCUGGGUGACAAGGCAAAAACGGCUAGCUCUCUGUAAGAGGUAGCAUCUACAGCUUUACUGUUGAAUCUGGACUGAUUGUGACUUACGUUAACCAAUAAAAUGUGAUCGAAGUAACAGUUUUUGAGUUUUGAGGCUGAGCCUCAAGGGCUUUUGCACAUUUCCACUCAUGCUUUUUGAUGCCCGAGCUAACCUGUUGGAGGAUGAAGGCAUGUGAAGAGAAAGCUCCAGGCACCCCAGUCCUCCCACCUAAGCCACCGGAUACAACGCCAAAACUGCUAAGAGAGGCACAUGCAGAGGAAGCCAGAACUGCCAAGCAAAGUCCAGCCCAGACUAUAAACCUGCAAAAUGAUUGAUUUUUAUUUUAAGUCACUAAGUUUGGGAAUGACAAAAACCCCGAUGCAACACCCAUAUAAUUGCUUUAACUAGUCAAGUAUUUUGGUCAUUUAGGUUUUGCGUAGCCUUUUGCUAAUAUCUGAAAUAAUUUCAUGAAUAUCUUUGAACACAUGUAUUUGUGCACAGAUCCAACAGAGGCGGUCUCCAAGGUAAAGAUCUAACACUAGUGCUAAUGAGGGCAGAGACAUAAAAAUGGGAAAAAUCUUGAUAAAUGACAUGACGCUCUUUUCCAAAACAGUUGUGUUAAUAUCAUACCGCAGUCAUGAUAUGAUGUUGCCUAUUUUAUCAAUGUGAUGUAUCUUUUAUUAAAAAUAAAACUGAUUGCUAAGACAUACAUAUACUUCUUUGUUUAAAUUAAAAAUCGUACUAUUUGGAGGAUUAGGCACUUUCACAUAUACAUGCACAUGUUUCCUAUUUACUGUGGGAAGGUUAUUGAGUUGGAUGAAACUUUUAUUUACACAGUCCCCUCUCAGAGGUGACGUGGGUAUAUGACGUUUUGCUUUUGCCCAGCAUGACUCACCUCCUUUUAUUUUUACUUUUUGGUGUUGUGACUGUAUAAUGAGAAUNUCUUGGGCCACUCCCGGGGCAUAUGGAGGUUCCCAGGCUAGGGGUCAAAUCAGAGCUGUAGCCACUAGCCUACACCAGAGCCACAGCAACGCAACGCCGGAUCAUUAACCCACUGAGCGAGGGCAGGGACCGAACCCGCUACCUCAUGGGUUCCUAGUUGGAUUCGUUAACCACUGUGCCACAACGGGAACUCCUUUUUUUUUUUUUUGGCACUUUUCUUGAAGAUAGGUGCCCUUCCACAAGUUCAUGACUUGUCCGUUCAGCGUUACGUCUAGGACACGUGAUCAGGCAACGCAGAUAUAUAGGCUGUAGAGAUUUAACACAUUUUAUCCCCUGAACCAACAGGGUACAUGAUGACAAUGUGGCUUCAACCUCCUGUAACAACAGAACAGCAGCACACAGAAGUGUCCUCAGAGUCCUCCUUAUUCUGUGUAUAUCCUCAGCUAAAAGAAACACAUAUCACAUUUUAAAACCCUUGCCUUCUAAACCCUGUACGAUGAGAAGAGAGAGCUGGAUAGAAGUCAGUCUCAAGAAUGCCAUUUUCUUCCUUGGUUGUUUUAUACGUCUCGAGAUGAACCUUUUUAACCCCUAAUGUCCCCUGGACAUGGUAUCAGGACUUUGCUUAAAAAUCCAUCACAGAUGUUCUCAAUGUUGUUAUGGCAGCUUCUACUCUUGGGGCUCAGCAGUGAGAAGCAUCUACUACUGCAAAGAGCCUGCUCAGUAAUGGACUGAAAACACUUGC